ensembl:lncRNA
AUUCAGCACAUGGCGAGGAGCGCGCUGCCUGGGCGCCGCUCGCGCACUUUUGGGCUCCGCGUCGGCUCGGCCCGGCCGGGCGCGUGGCGACGGCUCCGUGCAGCCUGCUGGCGAAGUUUCGCUGGUGUAGUUCGGCCGCUUUGCCCCGGAGAGGGGCAGGACACGAAUGGAGCCGGCGUCACCUGGUGGAGAAGGCGCUCCCUCCUAGAAGACCCCCUUCCGAAGGGCUCGUCCCCGUAGGGUCAAAGUGCUUUCAGUGCAGGUGUUUCCUGGUCCCAGCAGUACUAAAGUGCUGAUAGUGCACGUAGUUAAACGCUUCUACUGCAGUGUGAGCACUUGAAGUACUUCUAGACACGGGCGUCGCGGGCGCCGCGGGGACGUCGCCUGCCACAGCGCUCUCUGCUCUGGUUAGUUUUGCUGGUUUGCAUUCAGCGUUCACUGUUGCUGUGC